GGGUACCUUGGCUGGGAAACAUCUCAGCGGGGUCCUCUGCUCUGCCACAGAUGAACUAAAAACUCUACAAAACAGUCGUGCAGUGCUUGAGAGAGAGAAAAUCCUCCUUACCUGAGGAGCAGCUGCUCCCAGCUGCUGGCACUGGGCAAGGAAGGCAAUGUGAAUAGUGAUGGAUGAGAGAAGCAUUGAAUUUCCUGCAAGCAUUCAUCCACUCCUCCUGCGAACUGGCUUUGGCUGCAUUCUCAGAAUUAUGAAGGCCAGGACAUAAGUCAUUUAAGCAGAAAGGACUGAGCGGGCCACGGGGUGCAUCAGUUGCCACACAGAGAAGAGCAGUCAAAGUCACUCUGUCAGAGGGCUGGUGGAUGCUGAUGACAGAAGGGUAGGUAUAAUCUGCAUAGGAACAGGAGCGAGAUAUUUUCUUGUAGGAGCCGGUAUGUGAGCCAGGGCCAAGUCACCCUCCUAAUUCUUCCUGUCAUUUCUGAAAGAUUCAUUUCCCAAAGCCUCUGCUGGAGAAAUGGGCUCCGUAUCCCAGGUCUCACCUUGUCCAUGAACGUAUCAGGAGCCGUCCCAGGGGUCAAAUUCUUCUCCUGCUCACAACCCUGGCAAGCCCAUCAUCUUUAAGGGUCUCACAGAAGCAUUAAUGAGAAAAAAAAUAUGGUCAUCAUCACAAUAUCCUGCUUUUAUUUUUAUGGGUGACAAAAGUGUUCUUUUCAAUGUAUUUUAGCUACGAUUCCUACAAAGUGGAAAAACAUUCAGCUAUUUCUCAGCUGCUAGCAACAUUUCAAACCCUAACAUCAACUAUCCGUACAUAAUAGAUUUUCUUUAAAUAACUCUUGGUAAAUGCUUGACAUCUGUUUUCUCUAAUUAAUUCUAGCAGUCAUCAUACUUCACUGCAUAUGUUGAAAGCUCUCAAGGCUGAGAGCUAUCUACAGCGUUUCAGUCAUGGAAGUUUGUAUUGUAAACACUACUCCGCGAGUGCUUCAGGAUGUUUCUUUCUGACAAGUCAGGAAGAGGUGUUCAGAUCACUAGAAAAGGCGAGACACCCACUGAGUGUGAAAGUAAUGAGCCAGUACAUCUGGGGGAUGUAUUUCGGAGAGCUGGUUUUUUAUUUUAUUGCUAUUAAAUACUACACAAAAAUGAGG
rnacentral:lncRNA from 1 species